UACAGAGGUCUCAAGCGUUGUUCGGAUUCGUUGGGCGUAAAGGGUGCGUAGGCGGCGCGGUAAGUCGGGUGUGAAAUCUUGGAGCUUAACUCCGAAACUGCAUUCGAUACUGCCGUGCUUGAGGACUGGAGAGGAGACUGGAAUUUACGGUGUAGCGGUGAAAUGCGUAGAUAUCGUAAGGAAGACCAGUGGCGAAGGCGGGUCUCUGGACAGUUCCUGACGCUGAGGCACGAAGGUCAGGGGAGCAAACGGG
rnacentral:rRNA from 1 species